GGUCGCGUCACUGUACUCUAGCCCGGGCAACACAGCGAGACUGUGUCUUAAAACACACACACACACACACACACAAAUAAUAAUAAUAAUAAUAAUCUGUUUCUCUCUUGAAAAUGUUUCAGUGUGGAUAAGUUAUCACACCAUAUAAUCAAAAACCUAAUUGCAGAAGUGCUGUGAAAUGGAUGAUGUGCUUUAUUUUCUGCUAGAGAUGUCACAGACUAGCUUUAGUUCUAUCAAGUGAAACAGUGAUGUUGCCAGAACUUGGAACCUUGGAAACAGUUUAUUAUUGUUACAUUGUCCACAGAAAUACUUGGUAAUUCUGGGAGUCUGAAGUCAGGUGUCAAAAACUGUUCAUUUUCUAGUAGGGGUAAGUAAGGUAAGCCAUGACUUUCUAAGUCGGAAGUAGAGAAAACAGCAUAAAACUGAAGAAAAAAAUAGUAGAAGGAAGGAGGUAGAAAGAAAAAAGAAAUCUUAUCUGUGCAUGAUACAUAGCAAGAGUUUUGUAUUUAACUCAGUGCCACAGUAAUAAUAGCAAUAACUACAGAUAGUUUAACUUGAAUUUAAUUACUCCAUGCUAGAAGAUGCUUGCUAUAGAAACAAUUUGCCUUUCUCUCAUGAUGCUGUAUAUUAAUUAGCUGUUUUAAAAACCAGAUAUCACUGAAGUCAAUUUUGUUGUUGUUGUUUUGAGACAAGAGUCUCACUCUGUCGCCCAGGCUGGCGUGCAGUGGCACAAUCACAGCUCACUGUAGUCUUGACCUCCCUGGGCUCAGGUAAUCCUCCCGCCUCAGCCUCCCAAGUAGUUGGUACUACAGGCACACACCACCACACCCAGCUAAUUUUCUAUUUUUGGUAGAUACAGAGUUUCGCCAUGUUGCCCAGGUCGGUCUCUAACUCCUGGGCUCAAGUGAUCUGCCUGCCUCGGCCUCCCAAAGUGCUGGGAUUACAGAUUUGAGCCACAGUGUCCAGCAGAUUUUUUAGUGGACAAAGUGUGAGUUGGUCUAUAAAAUAAUUUAUUCCCAAGGGCCUUAUUCUAGUUUGGUAGGGUUUUUUGUUUGUUUGUUUCUGAAAGAAAAUGUGACCCAAAAUGCCAGUUGGAAUACUUAGCAGCUUUUUGGUCUUGGACAAGUUAUUUAACCUUAGCUUUAACUUCUUCAUCUUUUCAAUAGGAAUGGAUAAUAAUGCCCAUCUUUCAGAGUCCUUCUGAUAAUUAAAUGAGGUGAUGUAAAAGAAGUAACUAGUUUAAUGUUGGUGCUUAAUAGAGAAUAGCUGUCCUGUGUUAUUUCCCACCACCAUCUCCCUCUCUGUCUAGGUGCUCAGUCUCUCUAGUAGCCCAACUCUGUCAGUCAUUCACACCUACUGUAGUGUACCAUCAUCUUACUGCCUUUCACUGUCCUCUCAUUCCCCUCAUAACUUUACUUCCCUCUUUAUCCUGCUUCAACUCCAUGAGCCACCGUGACAGUCAGUACACAUACCCCCAGCCCCUACCCUACCCCUCUUGCUGUCUUAUACAAGAAAUCACAACCCUGAUUAUAUCAGCACAGAUGUGCUGACCAGCCUCACUCUAAAUUUAUGUUCGCUAGCCUCAGCAGUCAUGGUCACUUCCUAGCAGUCACACUAUACUUCCAUAAUCCAUUUCACUUUUCUACAUGGCUGUUCCAUUCGUUUUCCUCAAGCCUCCAACACUUCCUCCCCCAUCUUCAAUUUCAGCCCUUUAACCGUGCUUUCUAUAAUAGUUAACUGAGAAAAGAACAGCAAACAAAAGAUAAUUUUGAUAAACUUACCCUUCAUAUACCCAAUUACCUGUAUCCUUCCCCCAAACUUCUAUUUUUUUUUUUUUUCUGGUAAAUAUGGAUAAACUGUUCUUACGUCUGUCUAAGACCACCCUUCCGCUUGUGCAGUAUUCGUCCCCUCUUGGUGAGUCAAGGACAUUGCUCCAGCAGUUCUCUACUCUCCUCAGUUUUUCCUUGCCUAACGCAUCUUUCUGUCUGCUUACAGACAGGCGAUUAUUUCUUCUAUCUUAAGAACAACCAAAAAAACUCCACUGUACUUGAACUGCAUUUCCUCUUUUCUAACGAUUGCCCCAUUUCUAUCCUUCCCUUUAUAACAAAACUCCUUGAAGUUGUCUACACCACUGGUGUUCAUUCAUUUCUGAGCCCUCUUUACUAAGGUUUUUAUUCCUACAUAUGAAGUUUUCUUAUCAGAGUUACCAAAGAUUUCCAUGUUGCCAAAUCCAGUAGUCAGUUCUUGGUCUCAUUCUACUUCACCAGUCAGCAUUACAUGGCACAAUUGCUCUGUGCUCUGUGAAGCAUUUUCUUCACUUGAUCGUAUGCCAUUUUUUUCCUCAUAUCUCACUGGUUACCUCUCAAUCUCCUUUGUUGUGUUGAUUCAACUCCGAAGCCGCCAAAUGUUGGAGAGCUCCAGGGCUCAGUUACCUCCCCUUUUCUCCCUCUGUCUGUUAGCAUUUGUUUAGUCAUCUGCGUUCUUUUGAUGAUCUCAUCCAUCUAGUUCCUGGUUUUAAAUACUACCUGUAUAUCAUUGACUCCUAUCUCUAGCCUGGAUUUCUCCUCUAACUCCUGACUUGUAUAUCACAUUGCCUCUUUAACAUCUCUACUUGUAGGGAUGUCUGCUUAGAAUCUCAAUUCAGCAUCCCCUAAACCUGUUCCUCCAUCAGCCUUUCCCAUCUAAUCAAUUGACAGCUCUAUUCUAGUUGGUAAGACCAAACACCUUGGAGCCAUCCUUAAUUCCUCCCUCUCUCUCUCACCUCAUGUGAUCCUAACCUAUCAGCUCUGCUUUCAAACUAGGUGCAGAAUUUGACCUCUGACCACCCCUACUACCGUGGUCCAUUAUCUCUCACUAAUCUAUUCAGAGAUCCUCAGAUUCCUGUUUCUUGUUUCCAGUAUGUACCUCUCAGUUGAUUCUUUCCACUCCUCCCAAUUUUACUUGAGUGGAUCU